UUCCGGCCAAAAUUAUUCAUACCCCUGGUAGGUUUAUGUUGAAACCCGUCUUUUAAUUUGACCAACAUGUUUUUUUUUUUUUUUUCUCAGACUGGAAAUAAUUUUAAGGUUUGAAAGCAGCCUGAGUGCCUAAAGAUUAGGGUGAUGGCAACAAGGUAUAAAUUGUCAAUAUACCAGUGGAAAUGUGCAAAAAGUGAUCAGCAAUUAUAAGUAGCAUUUGAUUGGUGUCAUGCUGUUAAAAAAAUCUCUAAUGAUUGAGAACAGUAUAAGUAAUGUUUUAUAUUGAUCUAUCAAAUAUACAUAUUAAUUAGAGGUGAAUAAAGAGCUUUCUUUCAAAAAUAACCUUCUUGGUCAAGUGAAAAUAAUGUUCUGUCUAAACUUGCCAGUGUAUGAACGGUUUGGGACUUUGUAAAUUGGAUUUCCUCUGUCCACCUAAGUGAACAACAUGGAUUUGGAAAUUUAAACACACAUGCGACAAGUAAUUACAUGAAACCCUGAAUGCAAACUUUAAAAUAAUGUAAAAACAUUGUUAAAGCUGCAUAUUCCACCAUUUUCCAGUAUUGUUCAGUCUAAGCAUAAAACCCUCGACUCCCUGACCCUCCAGCUGGUGCCAUUUGCAUGCUCCUGUCUCCUUCAUUCAUUAUUUAGCUUUUUGUUUUGAAACCUUCAAACACUUCACAUUCAGUACAAACAACAAACUAAUUGCUCAUUUCGAUAUUUACAAUGCACGGUUAUUACAACCAGGGGAUUUCAAUAUCUGAUAUUCUGCUUUCUUUUAUUCCUAAAACUAAUCUCUGGAAUAUUUCAGCACAGUCACCUGUUUCAGUCCUUUCUUUUGUAACAUUCAUAACAUGUUAGCAGUGUGUCUAGGAUAACCUUCAUUUGACUUAGGUAUUAUUUAAUUAGCUGUACCUGGAGAUCAUUCAGUCAUGUGAUUCAGUCUUAUGAAAUAAUAAUAAAAAAUAUUCUGAAUGUAAAAAUUACCCCCUCAGUUUUAUGUAAGCUGUAAUUUAGUUCAGUCUAAUUUUAUGAAAUACAUUUUGCAACUACUGCUGUUGAGGUUUUCUCAAGAACUGAUGGUAGAAAUAUGAGGUCAGAUUUUGCCGUCCAUUUGAGCGGAUAGUUAACUACAAUUUCCUCAGAACAUAAAAUGCUUACAAAUGUUUCUCACCUGGGUCUUUUGGCACAUUAAUGUGUUCUUUGAAGCUUUUUUUUUGCACAACUUUCACAAUGCUGUUGUAAAUUGCACCUAAUUCGGUCAGGUUUUAAACGGGAUUCUUGUACAGUUGUGCUGUUAACUUUCUUAUUUGUAUGUUGAGGACUGAAGCAAUUAAAAAAUCUGAAAAAAUAUACUGAUACAAAAAAAAAUUCUACCUUUCAAGCUAUAAAAAAGCCUUUUUGUGUCCGGGGGACACAGGUGGAGAAUAAAAUUAAGGGACCCCAGAGGUUUAAACGAUAUUUCAAAGCUUUCAGAGACCUUGUGAAGAGCUGUUCACAAUUUAAGUGCAAUACUCCAGAUGGAUUUGAAGAUACAAGCAUUAAAUUAAAUUGUGAACUUAUGAAAAGACAUAGAGAUGGGUUUCACAUUUACAGGUUUGUCAGUCAGAACAGGUGAGGAUUUUGUUUAAACAAAAUUACUUUAUAGGAUCUAUUUUCUGUAGCUAAAACAAAUGAGCAAUAGUUAAUCUUGGUGCUAAAAUUGAGUCAUAUUUGAAAUAAUGUAAUGUACAUCCUUUGGUUGCAGUUAUUUUGAUUCAAAUACACAAUUUGACUUGAGAAAAAAAAAAAAAAAAAAAAAUCAAGCUAAACCUCAUUGUAGCUUUAUUUGUUGCGUUUAAUGCUCUGAAUUGAAUGCCUCUCUGUCGUUCUUUUUUUAAUGGGUCUAACACAAGUAUAGCAAGCUGAGGUUAAUCCAGCUGCUUUACCUGCAAGUCUCUGAAAGUUGCACCACCAUGACUGUAUUUUUCAUGACAGGAAUUGUUCCAGAACACCCAGAUUUCUGGCUUUUUCUCAGCCAGCUGGCUAGCAGUGCUCAGCGAUGGCUCAGAAAGGGCAAGGGUUUUGUUACUCUGUGCCUCAAAUAGCUUCAGAACAGUCAGGUCACUCUUGCUCUUUUUUUUCUGGGAUCUCAUUAAGCUGACUUUAAGUGGCAGACGCACUAUAACGGAAAAUUUCAGCAGACUUGAGAAAAGUGUUUUUAAGACCUCAGUCAAUUUUAAUCCCAACUGGCAAAGUCAGGAUGAUAAAAAAAA